rnacentral:lncRNA from 1 species
GGAAGAGCUGGGGCAGAGAGAGAAACAACAGCUUCUUUGUCUGGUUCUCUCAGAAGCCAACUCUGAGGCAAGGAUUCCUAGGAAAGACUAUCUUAAGAGUGAGAGGUGGAAUUUUAUUAUCUAUGGAGGAAGGAAUCUUCCUAGUGACUGAGUCCUGUCUUCUUCCUUCAAUGAGAAAGACAGCUGUGAUUGAUUAGUGAUGUCUGCCUUGGCCCAGGAUGGGAGACAACAGUACCUAUACUGCACAUUGUACAUCCCUGACCUCAGGAAACCUCAGCAGUCAGAAGGAGUUCAAGCAAUGUGGGACUGCUCUAUUUGCUCCCUUGACUGUGAGUGAUUUAAAGAUACUGGGUCUUGCUCCUUCACCCAAACUGGAGUGCAGUGGCACGAUCGAUCACAGCUCACCGCAGCCUUGAACUCCUAGGGCUGACACCAUCCUCCCGCCUGAGCCUCCUGAGUGGCUGGAACUACAGGAGUGCACCACCAUGCACCUAAUUGGUAUUUUAAAUGAUAACAACCACACGAAUAAUAUUAACAAUAAUGAUGAUGGUGAUAAUGACAGCUGCCACUUAUAUCCAUGGGCCAAGCAUUGUGCCACGCAUUUUGCUUACAUCUUCACACAAAAUCUACCAGGGAGGGAGUGUCUUUAACUGUCAUUUUACAGAUGGGGAAACUGAGGCUCUUAUGGGGAAGCCACUGGCCUGAGGUCAAGCACUGGAAUGUGACUGAGCCAAAAUGUGGCAGCAGAUCUGACUAUCGGCCUUUGUGGUUCACGAUUAUUGCCUCCAUUACAGUGCUGCCUGUGUGCUGGUUCUCGCAUGACAGGGAGGGUUGUGAGUAGACAGAGGGGUUGCAGCAGGACUGGCCCCUACCGUGUCAAAAGGGACAGGUCACAGGCUGAGCAGGAUGGGGCGGCAGGGGCAGGCUGCCUCCCCACACGCAGAGGUCCCACCCCAGCUCCCUACCAGCAGCAGACUGGGAGCCCUAGUGUGCCCAGCGCCCCCAUGAUUGGCAGCCUGCAGAUGGCAGGGGUGCCUUGGAAUUUAUUAUCCAAGCAUGCCUUUCCGAGGGGGCCUCACUGCCUGACACUGCUUUAUCGGAAAGCUGGGAAUGGUUAGCUGAGCCCAUCUGUUAGCCAAAGAGGGGAACUCAGUGGGUGGGGAAGUCUGUGGAGUCAUUUAAAAGGAAUUUCUCUGAUGCUGAGGCCAGGGCAGAAGGUUAUCUGCCCGUGGGCCGUUGGGCUGCCUGGUUUGGGGUAUUGGGGGCUUGGGGGUGGUGUGUGUGUGUUUGGUGGGGGACUCUCGUUGCUUGUUCUAAACCAAAAAUUGCUAGAGCCCUUCCCCCUUCUGAACAACAAUUUGAACUCUGCAGUGCUCUUUCAUUGCUGAAACCACCACAUUAGCAUCGUCAGUGUCUUGGUGACGAAUCUAGGACAGAUGGGGAUAAAUGCAGUGAUCUGAAUUAAUACUGGGGUGGCUAAUGAAUCCAGGAGCCAGGAAAUAAUUAGGAGAAGUUACUGCUCCUGACAUGGCAAAUAGAAGCUGUGUGUUAGAUGCCUUCUUCUCUCUCCCCUCCCACCAACCAAGAUGCCCCGGAAGACAGCUGUGCAGCCACCUGGGGUGGGGGACACUUGGAUGUCAGGACUUGAUCUUGGGUGAGGAUUCUGGGACAUUUAUGACAGAGGCUGGUGAACAGCAGGUGGAGACAGGAGAAUGGCGGUUCUUCCAUUGUAUAUCAAAGGUUCUUCUGUGCUUGGAAAAAGCACUGGACUGGGAGCCCAGAGGCCUGGGUUCAAGUGCAGGCUCCUACUGGAUCAUCCUAAGGCAUGUGGUUCCCUCCUCCAAUGCUCAAUGAAAGUAGAGCAUGAUCGAGGGUAGCAUGCACUGUUUGCUGCCCAGGGGCAGGCCCAUGCUAAAUGAUUUGCAUAGGGCUCUCAUUUAAUCUUCCCCCACAGCUCUAGUACUCUGUUUGUUCUCACUCUACCAAGUCCAAUUGUUUCAAUAGCUCAUUCAAGGGCAUGCAGUUGAUAGCAGAGCUGGAUUCAAACCCAGAAAUCAACUCAAAGGUCUGAGCCCUUGACCAUACCAUGUCACUGCCUUUUGCCACCAAGAGCCAGAUAAUCAUUGAUGUUUCUUCCAACACUGACAUAUUUUUAGGCCUUCAUGAUUCUUGUAGAUAUCUUGUAGAUAUCUGCUUUGCAAUAUGGGGAGUGAAAGGGAGUUGAGCUAUGCUUUUGUAAUUGGGUGUCUGAAAAGGCUGGGCCCCUAUUAUAUAUGAUCAUACGCUUUAUUCUUCCUUUCUAAAACUUAGCAUGUUUGCAAUUGAAUAAUUAAGUGUUUAUUGUUUAAUGGUUAUCUACCCUGCUAGACUGAGGCUCCAAAAAGAUCUCAUCUAUUUUGCUCACUGUUAUGUCCCCAGUGCAGAGAAGAGUGGAUGAUAUGUUGUGUUCGAAUUGAUAUCAUUUGACUGUGUCCCCACACAAAUCUCAUCUUGAAUUGUAGCUCCCACAAUUCCCAUGUGACAUAGGAGGGACCCGGUGGGAGAUAAUAGAAUCAUGGGGGUGGUUUCCCCCAUACUGUUCUCAUGGUAGUGAAUAAGUCUCAUGAGAGCUGAUGGUUUUAUAAGGGGUUUUCCCUUUCACUUGGCUCUCACUCUUUCUUGCCUGCCACCAUGUAAAACGUGCCUUUUGCCUUUUUCCAUGAUUAUGAGGCCUCCCCAGCCACAUGGAACUGAGAGUCCAUUAAACUCCUUUUUCU